rnacentral:tRNA from 1 species
GUCUCUGUAGCGAAAUGGAUAGCGCAUUGGACUUCUAAUUUAAAGGGCGUGGGUUAGAAUCCCACCUGGGAUG